CAGCAGCCGCGGUAACACGGAGGGUGCAAGCGUUAAUCGGAAUUACUGGGCGUAAAGCGCACGCAGGCGGUUUGUUAAGUCAGAUGUGAAAUCCCCGAGCUUAACUUGGGAACUGCAUUUGAAACUGGCAAGCUAGAGUCUUGUAGAGGGGGGUAGAAUUCCAGGUGUAGCGGUGAAAUGCGUAGAGAUCUGGAGGAAUACCGGUGGCGAAGGCGGCCCCCUGGACAAAGACUGACGCUCAGGUGCGAAAGCGUGGGGAGCAAACAGGAUUAGAUACCCGUGUAGUCCCUGUCUCUUAUAC
rnacentral:rRNA from 1 species